rnacentral:rRNA from 1 species
AAACUAGGAUUAGAUACCCUAUUAUUAAAAAUUUAAAUUAAUAAUACUAAAAUAGUAUAUAAUUAUUUAUAAAAACUUAAAUAAUUUGGCGGUAUUUUAGUUUAUUUAGAGGAAUCUGUUUAUUAAUUGAUAUUCCACGAAUAAAUUUACUUAAUUUAUUUAAUUUUGUAUAUCGUUGUUAUAAAAAUAUUUUAAAAUAAUAAUAAUAUUUUAAUUUUUAUAUUAAAAGUUAAAUCAGAUCAAGAUGCAGAUUAUAAUUAAGAAUAUAAUGGAUUACAAUAAAUUUAUUUAAUUGGAUGUUAUUUUUAAAAAUUAAUUGAAAUUGGAUUUAAAUGUAAUUUUAUUUAAUUUAUUAAAAUGAUUUUAAUUUAAAAUAUGUACAUAUUGCCCGUCGCUUUCAUUAAUAAAUUGAAAUAAGUCGUAACAUAGUA